GUCAGCAGCUAUAUGAACUGCAGUUCAGACUAGGUAACCAAUCUCUCUGAAGCUGAGCGGGUUUGAGCCUGGCCAAUACUUGGAGGGAAACCAACUAGGAAAGCGGAGUUGCUCUUG
rnacentral:rRNA from 1 species